rnacentral:rRNA from 1 species
AUUGAACGCUGGCGGCAUGCCUUACACAUGCAAGUCGAACGGCAGCACGGGAGCAAUCCUGGUGGCGAGUGGCGAACGGGUGAGUAAAGUAUCGGAACGUGCCCAGUCGUGGGGGAUAACGUAGCGAAAGUUACGCUAAUACCGCAUACGAUCUAUGGAUGAAAGCGGGGGAUCGCAGGACCUCGCGCGAUUGGAGCGGCCGAUAUCAGAUUAGGUAGUUGGUGGGGUAAAGGCUCACCAAGCCGACGAUCUGUAGCUGGUCUGAGAGGACGACCAGCCGCACUGGGACUGAGACACGGCCCAGACUCCUACGGGAGGCAGCAGUGGGGAAUUUUGGACAAUGGGCGAAAGCCUGAUCCAGCCAUGCCGCGUGCAGGAUGAAGGCCUUCGGGUUGUAAACUGCUUUUGUACGGAACGAAAAGGUUUGGCCUAAUAAGCUGAGCUCAUGACGGUACCGUAAGAAUAAGCACCGGCUAACUACGUGCCAGCCGCCGCUGUAA